UCCCAAUUAUUUUCACGCUGCUCUCCUCGCCUUAGCUCGCCCAUCGGCGGCCUCCAACUCGACUAGACACCUGCGUCGCCCCAUGGGGACACCUCCACCUCCGUAAGCUCGCCGGGCCGCCGGCCAACAUCUCCGUGAGCACGCCGGAGCCACCCCAUGGGGACACACCUCCCUCGGCCUCCUCGACCCACUACGCCCGCGACGCAUGGCGAGGUCUCGUGGUUGCGACGACAGGCGCAGCGCUGGGAGCAAGCCCACGAGGCUGGCAGGCGUGAAGAAGUCGUGCGCCAGCAGCAGUCUUGUUGGGGCGUAGUGAACUGGCGACGAGGUCGACCUCCCUCUCUAUUGCUUCUGGAGGCGGCGACCUCAAAGUGUCAGCGGCAGCGAUGCACAACCUGCACGGCAUUUGAGAGAUUGGGGAAGAAUGGAGAUGGGGCCUUUUGGUCCUUUCAUCUGCGCACAAUCCUGAGAAAUACAGUAAACAGUUCAAAAGGGGCAAAUAAUAUAUGUGCAAAGUAAUUUAGGGUAAAAGAUGAUAUAGUACAAUGUAAAGAAGGGCAAGUCGUAUAGGUCUGAAGUAAAUAGUGGCAAAAAGUAAAAUUCCCCGCCACCAUUGUCCCCGGGGCCAGCACUCUCUCCUCCUUCCUUGGCCACAACAAUGCACUUCUCUCUCUUCUGAGGGCCAUGCAACUAGGCCUAUUUAGCAUCUCGGCGCGACCUAGGCGAAGGGUCGCCACACCGGCGGGGAAGGCCAUCCACCGCUGCUUCUUCCAUGUUCUCAGCGCAUUGCCCGUAAAAGAAUAUCUCCAACUGCCCGCCUGCUGCAGACGUCCAGUUUCUCACCGGCUUGCCACCACAUGUUCUCCUACUUUGCCGUUUGCAACACCGUGCGAACUGACCCGAGGCAGCGUUCCUCUCCGGUGAAGUGGGCCAGGACGGGUGGUGGCAGCCCCUCCCAUCGGCCAUCGUGUUCAGCCCCCACACCUCCUGUGCGAUUUCACCUAGCCGCCGUUGCCACUUCGGAAAAGAACCCGCGCGCCGCUGCUGCUUGCUGAAGAUGGCGGGCUGCCACCGCUCACGGGAGAUGGGGGGCACAACCUCAACCAGACGUGCGACGCCGACGACCUGGCGGAGCUGCGGCCCUUCGCUGGCGGCCUGGACGGAAAAGGCGCAAGUCCGCUCGGGAUCCCAGUCCGUUCAGGUGGGGAUUCGACGACGGCAAGUCGUCCUACGCCUGGACGGGGCGUCUCCUGUGACCUCGGGAGGGUGGUGGGGCUGGAUCUCUCCAGCCAUAGCCUCCGCGGCAUCGCCCCUCCGCCGCUUGCCGCACUCAACCUCCCCGCAGAACACGCUCCGCUGGCCAGCGCCGCUGGGGCUGCGGGUACUUGACCUCAGUGCCAACGCACUCUCCGGUGCCUUCCCGUCAAGCUUUCCUACCAUCUUCUUCCCGACGAUUGAGGUGCUGAACAUCUCUUUCAACAAGUUUUCCAGGCUGUACCCCGCUGUCCCGGCGUUGCAAACAUGGCAUCCCGCGUUCCCGAGCAGCAGCAGCGGACGGCUCUGGUGAGGAUGAACAGCAGGUCAGUACCCUCUUCCAAGGAUCCAUCAUACGACUGAAAAAUCGAUCCACUCCUCUCUUUAGGCAAUCUUCUUACUGUCGACCAUCAUAAAUCGUUGAGUUGGUUUCCCCUAGGUUGUCGUUGGAUAUAUUAGUCCUCUGUUUCGUUCAAAUUAGUGUAGCUGGUUUCUCUGAUGGUGCCUUCCUGCUAUCGAUUGAGGUGAGUUGAUCCUAGAUUUGCUGGGGCGCAGUCGCAUAGAAAAUAUGUUCUGUGACCGUACUUUACAUGCACACUUAUGUUACUAAUAGGAUGUGGUUGUACUGCUGGAGGAAAUACCUUGAAUCAUGUACAGUACCAGAAACCAUAAUUUGUGAUCUCUGUAGUGUUGUGAUGAAAACUGGAGCAUAUACUCUUCAAUUAUUCUACAAAUUAGCCAUAUAUUGGAAAGAUAAAAGCAGAAAUAAGAUUCAGUCUGAUCUGAUUUUUGUUCAGGCCCAUAUUUAUUAUUCUUUUCCCUUGGUGUCUAUGAACCUGAGGGAUAUUGAUUGCAUGAGGAAAAAGUUUUCAGGUGGAUGGGUACUGAGCUUCAUUUUAUUAGUGAGUACAAGAUAAAAAAUAGUUUGUUGGUUACUGACUUGACUAAUUAGGCGGCGACAAGGUGUUGGUUUAUACUUGGGCCACAAAGGAGAGUAAGAAGUAUUUGUGAGAAGGCGUUGCUACAAACAUAUGUAGAGGAUGAGAUGUACAGUAAUCUGUCAAUCUGCAAUUUAAUUUACUGGUUAGACCUUUCUUCAAUUGACACUACACAGCCGUGAAGUUUUCAGAUUUACAUAUCCACAAGGCUUUGGAUAUCAAAUGGUUUUGGUGGUGAGAGAGAUUGGCUUCAUUUUUUGUUGUAACUGUUACAUUUGGGGAUUUUUAUUGGUAUUGCAAAUUGUUGGAGAAAACAGCUAGAGUUAUAUUGUUUCCGAAAGCUUUGACCGCGAACUGCCAAAGAUCAUAGUGGCCGAUGCAGCCAUGGCAGUGUGGCGGGCGUCUCCCUUUGUUUCUCCGCCCGUCUCUUCUCCUGCAAUUAUCCCUCCAUUGCAAACCCAAUCUUCCUGACUCAGUAUUGGCAUGGUCUCAAAUUCCUCUACAGAACAGGCAGUGGUUUUUGGGUAGCUGAUUUGGUAUCUAGAGUUCUCGGCCAGCUUGGGAACUUGGGAAGGUCUUUACAUGCGGCCUAUGUUGGAUAACAUUUCUCCAACAGUGCUUAUGGAUUGUCAGUUUCUGAGAUUGUUUCUAUGACAUAUACGGUUCCAGAAGAUGUUGAGGUGUACUCUAUGGAUAGUUGGAUACAGAAUAAGGAAUAGAACUUCCCUUCUGGAUUUUCAUAUCUUCUGGAAUUUCUCCAUAUAUUCAAUCUUGAUAGUUUCCCACUUCAGAAAAUCUCUUUCAAGGUCACUGUGGCUAUAAUACGAUUGAGAAAGAUCAAUCAAUCAAUUGGGUUAUGCAAUUGAAUCCAUCUUACGGUUACAAGGUUAGGUGAAUGGGUUUUGGAAGCAGAAAUUAUAAUAGGAGAUAAUAAAGGAUAGCUUUCCCAUGGACAGUUCUUCGUCACCAUAUCAAAGUGUCACAACUAGAAAAAGUAGUAAACAUGGGUGGCUGCAUAGUCUAAGAAUAGCGGCUCCAUCACCAUGAUUUGUUUGCCUGUUAUGAGAGCUCUUUUUGUAGUUGAACUUUUAUGUUUGGAUUAUAACUGCGAAUGGCUGUGUGCAUCUUGGUUAUGCAGAGGUCGGGUGUAUUACGUCAAACUCUGAAGUAAU